GUGAGGAAUAUUGGUCAAUGGGCGAGAGCCUGAACCAGCCAAGUCGCGUGAAGGAAGAAGGAUCUAUGGUUCGUAAACUUCUUUUGCAGGGGAGUAAAGUGCGGGACGUGUCCUGUUUUGUAUGUACCCUGAGAAUAAGGAUCGGCUAACUCCGUGCCAGCAGCCGCGGUAAUACGGAGGAUCCGAGCGUUAUCCGGAUUUAUUGGGUUUAAAGGGUGCGUAGGUGGUUUGAUAAGUCAGCGGUGAAAGUUUGCAGCUUAACUGUAAAAAUGCCGUUGAAACUGUCGGACUUGAGUGUAAAUGAGGUAGGCGGAAUGUGUGGUGUAGCGGUGAAAUGCAUAGAUAUCACGCAGAACUCCGAUUGCGAAGGCAGCUUACUAAGCUACAACUGACACUGAAGCACGAAAGCGUGGGGAUCAAACAGGAUUAGAAACCCCGGUAGUCC
rnacentral:rRNA from 1 species